rnacentral:rRNA from 1 species
GAUUAACGCUGGCGGCAUGCCUAAUACAUGCAAAUCGAACGAAGCACUUGUGCUUAGUGGUGAACGGGUGAGUAACACGUGGGUAACCUGCCCAUCAGAAGGGGAUAACACUUGGAAACAGGUGCUAAUACCGUAUAACAAUCAAAACCGCAUGGUUUUGAUUUGAAAGGCGCUUUCGGGUGUCGCUGAUGGAUGGACCCGCGGUGCAUUAGCUAGUUGGUGAGGUAACGGCUCACCAAGGCCACGAUGCAUAGCCGACCUGAGAGGGUGAUCGGCCACAUUGGGACUGAGACACGGCCCAAACUCCUACGGGAGGCAGCAGUAGGGAAUCUUCGGCAAUGGACGAAAGUCUGACCGAGCAACGCCGCGUGAGUGAAGAAGGUUUUCGGAUCGUAAAACUCUGUUGUUAGAGAAGAACAAGGAUGAGAGUAACUGUUCAUCCCUUGACGGUAUCUAACCAGAAAGCCACGGCUAACUACGUGCCAGCAGCCGCCGUAAAAC